rnacentral:rRNA from 1 species
UACGUAGGGGGGCGAGCGUUGUCCGGAGUUACUGGGCGUAAAGCGCACGCAGGCGGUCUGCUAAGUUGAGUGGACAUGGUGGCUUAACUGCCAAAGUGCUUCGAAACUGACAGACUUGAGGGCUUCAGAGGGACACGGAAUUCCGGGUGGAGUGGUGAAAUGCGUAGAGAUCCGGAGGAACACCAAAGGCGAAGGCAGGUGUCCUGGGGAGUACCUGACGCUCAGGUGCGAAAGCCAGGGGAGCGAACGGGG